AUACUUACCUGGCAGGGGAGAUAACAUGAUCACGAAGGUGGUUUUCCCACAGUGAGGCUUAAACAUUGUAAUUUGGAUAUGCUGACUCCUGCAAUUUCCCAUAAUGUGGCAAACUUGACUGCAUAAUUUGUAAUAGAGGAGCAGUGCAUUUGCACUCUCCCC